UUCCGGUUGAUCCUGCCGGACCUGACUGCUAUCGGAUUGAUACUAAGCCAUGCGAGUCAUUGCAGCAAUGCAAGGCAGACGGCUCAGUAACGCGUAGUCAACCUAACCUAUGGAUGGGAAUAACCUCGGGAAACUGAGUAUAAUGCCCGAUAGAACACUAUACCUGGAAUGGUUUGUGUUCCAAAUGAUUUAUCGCCGUAGGAUGGGACUGCGGCCUAUCAGUUUGUUGGUGAGGUAAUGGCCCACCAAGACUAUUACAGGUACGGGCUCUGAGAGGAGUAGCCCGGAGAUGGGUACUGAGACACGGACCCAGGCCCUAUGGGGCGCAGCAGGCGAGAAAACUUUGCAAUGUGCGAAAGCACGACAAGGUUAAUCCGAGUGGUUUCUGCUAAAGGAACCUUUUGUUAGUCCUAGAAACACUAACGAAUAAGGGGUGGGCAAGUUCUGGUGUCAGCCGCCGCGGUAAAACCAGCACCUCAAGUGGUCAGGAUGAUUAUUGGGCCUAAAGCAUCCGUAGCCGGCUCUGUAAGUUUUCGGUUAAAUCUGUACGCUCAACGUACAGGCUGCCGGGAAUACUGCAGAGCUAGGGAGUGGGAGAGGUAGACGGUACUCGGGAGGAAGUGGUAAAAUGCUUUGAUCUCUCGAUGACCACCUGUGGCGAAGGCGGUCUACCAGAACACGUCCGACGGUGAGGGAUGAAAGCUGGGGGAGCAAACCGGAUUAGAUACCCGGGUAGUCCCAGCUGUAAACUAUGCAAACUCAGUGAUGCAUUGGCUUGUGGCCAAUGCAGUAUUGCAGGGAAGCCGUUAAGUUUGCCGCCUGGGAAGUACGUACGCAAGUAUGAAACUUAAAGGAAUUGGCGGGGGAGCACCACAAGGGGUGAAGCCUGCGGUUCAAUUGGAUUCAACGCCGGG
rnacentral:rRNA from 2 species